ACAGUCUCAUUUUCAAGUGCGAUAAAAAUGGCGACUAAAGACAAGAAGCUCUAUGAAGGCGUUUUGUUGACCAGUUUAGAAGAAAGAGAAUCAGUAUCUGCAUCCUUGCCUGUCGCAGUUAAUAUACUGUUACAGGAAAGUUCGACUGGCUUUAGAGUGUUUGCUAAAAAUGGUUAGUUUAUUAGAAAUUUAUCAAAAAAUAAAAACGUUUUUGGUGAAAGUAAACGCAUGACCGGUUUUUUUAAAACUAUUCAUAAAUUUUCUUUUCCUAGAAUAUGAUUGAGUAAUGAUAUCUUUACUAUCUUUUUUUAUAAUAAGAGACUUAUUAAAUGGAAAAUUUAAAAAAAAAAUAGACUCGUCCUAAAAGAAAAUGAAGCGAAUGAUAAUUGACUCUUGGUUUAAGCACAACACACAUAGUGUUUGAAUAAACGUUGACUGCUGGUCGUUGUACCGACGUAUUCAGCGUUUUUAAUUCGAUUCAGAUGCAAUCACACUCAAUCUGACAUGUCAAACAUUUUUAGCGAAUGGAAGAAUAUAUUGAAAAUUUCUGAAAGUUCUUUAAUUCGAAAUUCUGUGUAUUUUAAUAAUACAGAGCUGAGCUUUGGAAAUACAGAGUCCCAGAGAUAUUAAUUAAUUGAGUUCUUGAGCAAAAUUGAGCAUACAAAAAAAACUCAGUUCUUCAAAUAUAAAUUAGUGGUACUGGAGAUCCAGCAGAAAUUGGGUUUAUCGACAAAACCACAGAAAUAUGCAAAAUUGGCAAAAAUUCGGCAGUUGUAAGUUUUGAAGAGAAAGGCAUAAGCCUGAAGUUUCAAGCUGAAAAUGGUUAGUAUUGAUAAACUUUAAGAGAAUCUAUCAACAGGCUCUGAAAGUAGUGCACUUUGUAAUAAAGAGGUAUCAAAAUCUCCGUAGCUGUUAGUUUAGUAAAGAGCCACCAGGCGGAAACGUUAAAUUUUAAAGGCUAAAAUUUAUCAGGCAUAUCAAGACAAGCAUACCCACUUUACUUGCUAUUCAAAUUCAGUUUAGAAGCCUAAUGCCAGACUUGGCAAGAUAUUAUUCUAUGAAAUGUUAGUUAGUUAUUUGAGCUACUUAUUAGUAAAACAACCGUGAGUCAAUCAUGUAUUUUUAGCUGAGUGAGUGUGGAAGUCACAAUGAAUAUUUUUAACAAUUUAAUAUCGUUUUAUGACAAUGUGAAACGAGCUAUUUCUCAGAAAACUAAUUCGGUGUUCAAACUUCGAACUGAAGAAACUUCUGCGAGCCAAUAUUUUCAGUUUUACGGAUACUUAGCACAACAACAAAAUAUGAUGCAAGAUUUUAUACGAACAAGUACCUAUCAAAAGGCAAUGCUAAAUAGUAAUGAAGAUUUUAUGGGAAAGGUUGUUUUGGAUGUAGGAGCAGGAUCUGGAAUUUUAUCAUUUUUUGCAGUACAAGCUGGUGCUAGGAAAGUUUAUGCCGUCGAGGCAUCGUCUAUGGCCCAACAUUGUAGAGAAUUGGUUAAAAAUAAUAACCAGAGCGAUAAAAUAACUGUUCUCUCUGGAAAGAUAGAAGAAAUAGAAUUACCAGAAAGUGUUGAUAUUAUUAUCUCGGAGCCUAUGGGCUACAUGUUGUUUAACGAACGUAUGUUGGAAACAUUCUUGCACGCGAAGAAAUGGUUAAAGAGCGGAGGACGAAUGUUUCCAUCGGAAGCACAUUUGCACAUAGCGCCUUUUAUGGAUGAUGCUCUCUACUCUGAGCAAUUUAGCAAGGCUAACUUUUGGUGUCAGACAAGCUUUCACGGAGUAAAUCUGUCGAGUUUGCAGCAAGCAGCAUUGUCAGAAUAUUUUUGUCAACCCAUAGUUGACACAUUCGAUCCGAGAAUUUGCCUAGCUAAGUCCUUCAAACACACUGUUAAUUUUGGGAAUACAGAAGAAGAGGAUUUACAUCAUAUUGAUAUUCCUGUUUCUUUUACGAUAAACCAAUCUGGAACAUGUCAUGGUUUAGCCUUUUGGUUCGAUGUGGCCUUUUCUGGAAGUAAGGCAGAGCAAGAAGGUCCUGUUUGGCUAUCGACUGCUCCAUCGGAACCACUAACACAUUGGUAUCAGGUCAGAUGCUUGAUUCCUCAACCAAUAUUUCUGAAAAGUGGAGAUUCAUUGGCAGGAAGAGUUAUUUUAUCAGCUAAUAAGAGACAAAGCUAUGACGUUGAUUUGGAGUUAAUGGCUCCAAAUGGUGCAAUGGUGGCUAGCAACACUCUGGACUUGAAGAACCCAUAUUUUAGGUACACUGGCCAAGCUGUUGCCGCUCCACCUCAUACAACCAAUACAAGUCCUACCGAACAAUACUGGACAACCCAGAAUUCUUCUGCAGAACAGCAGAUUUUAUGUAACCUUAUCCCAGCACCACCACCGGAUGGAAAUGCUGUUUCGGAAAUAACGAGUUCUGUUCCUAUCAAUCCUGGAUCUAUACCAGCGGCGGCGAUAAGCAUUGGUCGCCAACCCCUGCCUCAACCUAUGAACUCACCAGCGUUUACAGUUUCGAACCAGUUUAUGAUAGCAGAUUAUGUUCUUCCUCAAAAGUCCUGUCACAAUUCGUUUGUGAAGCAUCUGUAA
rnacentral:misc_RNA from 1 species